AUUGAACGCUGGCGGCAUGCUUUACACAUGCAAGUCGAACGGUAACAGGCCUUCGGGUGCUGACGAGUGGCGAACGGGUGCGUAAUGCAUCGGAACGUGCCCAGAGGUGGGGGAUAACGCAGCGAAAGCUGUGCUAAUACCGCAUGUGAUCUGAGGAUGAAAGCGGGGGACCAGGCAGCAAUGUUUGGCCUCGCGCCUUUGGAGCGGCCGAUGUCAGAUUAGGUAGUUGGUAGGGUAAAGGCCUACCAAGCCGACGAUCUGUAGCUGGUCUGAGAGGACGACCAGCCACACUGGGACUGAGACACGGCCCAGACUCCUACGGGAGGCAGCAGUGGGGAAUUUUGGACAAUGGGCGCAAGCCUGAUCCAGCAAUGCCGCGUGCGGGAAGAAGGCCUUCGGGUUGUAAACCGCUUUUGUACGGAACGAAAAGGCUCUGGCUAAUACCUGGGGCUGAUGACGGUACCGUAAGAAUAAGCACCGGCUAACUACGUG
rnacentral:rRNA from 1 species